rnacentral:rRNA from 1 species
GAUGAACGCUGGCGGCGUGCCUAAUACAUGCAAGUCGAGCGAACAGACGAGGAGCUUGCUCCUCUGACGUUAGCGGCGGACGGGUGAGUAACACGUGGAUAACCUACCUAUAAGACUGGGAUAACUUCGGGAAACCGGAGCUAAUACCGGAUAAUAUAUUUAACCGCAUGGUUCAAUAGUGAAAGACGGUUUUGCUGUCACUUAUAGAUGGAUCCGCGCCGCAUUAGCUAGUUGGUAAGGUAACGGCUUACCAAGGCAACGAUGCGUAGCCGACCUGAGAGCGUGAUCGGCCACACUGGAACUGAGACACGGUCCAGACUCCUACGGGAGGCAGCAGUAGGGAAUCUUCCGCAAUGGGCGAAAGCCUGACGGAGCAACGCCGCGUGAGUGAUGAAGGUCUUCGGAUCGUAAAACUCUGUUAUUAGGGAAGAACAAAUGUGUAAGUAACUAUGCACGUCUUGACGGUACCUAAUCAGAAAGCCACGGCUAACUACGUG